AAUUUCAAUCCAGUCUUUACUUUGUGCACCAUGCAGUGACACCCUGAGUUAUUCCCUGCACUCCAUCAGGAGCAGUCAGGUCAAUGUUCUGAGGAAAGGGCUAACCAAAGGGCGCCCGUGCCCAGCCAGUAGAGUUCUGUUUUCCUAGCAGAUCUCUUCAACUCUGUCCUGUUCACUUUCGCUGUUUCAGCCACCAGCUUAGCCAAUUUAGUUCCAAGUAAAGGCAAGAGCUUCCAUUUCCACUGAAAUUUGCCUUUCUCUGGAUAUUUUUAAGGGUUUUGUUUUGAAGUUCUUUACACUCUUAUUUUUCUUAAGGAAUUCUGACUUAGCUUUCAUCUCUAAUUAUUUUCAGUUGCAUUUCAUUGAAGCGUAUUUACAGGCUGUACGUCAGUGUGUGUAUCAUUACAAGUUCAAAGUGACCUUCUCGUGGCGGAUUGUCAGCUGGUAAAAGAAGAAAAACAAAUGGCACAGUAUUCUCAGUUCUCAUUAUUUCAUCAUACGCCCCAAUACUUAGUUUGAGGUCCACCUAAAAGACUGAAGUCAAGAGGUGUGUGACUCCUCGCUUCCACUUGUUGAUACACAUUUGUAGCCCCUAAUCUCUAAAGGUUAAACACCUUUUUUCAACAGCAAUCUUUGAAUUAGAUGGGGAUGCUAAUAACAGGUGUGAUUCACCAUUCAGACAAGUUAUGGAAAUUGGAAAAGUUGAUGUUGGAACCCCACAAGGGUGCCCUGGGUUAUGUCUAGCAAAAAGGAGCAAGAUGAGAUGAAUGUUUCAGGUACCUGCCUGAAAUUGUGUAGCCUGGGACAAGGAGGAGGUCAGAGCUGAUUAUCCUUCCUGGCCUCAGUUUAUGAUUCUCUAGAAUGUAGAGGUUUUUAAGUCAGUUCCAUAACUGCUUGAGAUGGCCCGUGUUGCCCUGAACAUGAAGGACUGGCAAUACAGAGGCUUCAAAUUCAGUGUCUCUUGUGGAGUUUGUUUGUUGUUUGCAAAUAAAUUAAUCUCUGUGGGCAAACUUCAGUUUGUAACACAGAACGUUAACUGUUCUACCUUGGUUAUGGUGAGUUGAGAUGCUUAAGUUAAACACUGCCAUACAAGUAUGUUACAUUUCUAACCAUGGGUGCAUAGAGACCACAUCCCCUGCACUGUAGGAAGGAAAAUGCUGUCACUUACAUCUGAAGGAGACCUGUCUGCAGUGAGUUGGGGUUUAUCCUCAGUGCUCAGCUCUCUCCAAUCAAUGCCUCUCUCUGGCUGCCGAAUGUGACUUGGUCCUACAGGCCCAACAGCAUCCUUGUCUGCUUCUUGGUGCUCAGAAGUGAUUUCUUUUCAGUACUUUCAGAAUUGUCUUCCCUUUCUGGGUCACCACUGACUCUGAUUUGAUCCUCCAAGUGUGCCCUUCCGUUCUCUCUCCUUCCCUUCCUCCUCUAUGCGUCACAGCUGUAGGCACUCUAUCCAGUGUCUUGUGAGUAGCUCUUUUACAAGAGCAACCCCUUUUUUAGUUGAGUAUUUGUGUGUGAUUUGCAUCUCCCCUUUGCUGCGUGUUGUAAUUUCACAGCUGGUCCUGGGAAGUUUGUUCCCAAAAGUAGCCUUUGCAGGUGGGCAUGUGUAUUGCUCAUUUAACUUGCAGUGCAGACCACAGGGAUGCUCUGUGACUGAGACAGAAGAGCAAGAAGUCAUGUGAAUGCAUUGACUAGAGCAAGGCAGAAGCAGGGUAUGUCAUUCUGACAGCAUUUGUCUAACAUGAAUUUGAGAAAUCCAUUGCAGCAGAACUCCCCAGCUUUCCAGUCUUCCGUCAGCAAUUGCUGCCUGAACUGCAUGGUUCAGUGCUGUAGACUCCAAGCAGUCCACUUCAGUUUCUGCAGAAAAGUGCAGUAGGGGCAACGUUUUAGUCCUGGUUUCUAUAGAAGGGAAAUAAUACCUGUUGAUACAUGAGCUAUUUGGGGUGUAUCAUUCUGAAUAAUGUACCUUCUUGUGUGCAUUUCUUAAGCUUAUGGACUGGCUAUUCAAUUCUAUUUCCAUUUCUACCCCAAAGUGCAAAAUGUACUCCUCUAGCUCCUUGUACGGAGGAGAAGCUGCCUGUUGACCAGAAAGGAGUGAAGGUUGUGGACUCACAGUGCUGCAAGACUAAAAUUGAUGAGCUGCAAUACAAAAUGUUAUGUUCCUGAGUUCUGCAGGCAGCUGUCUCUCCUAAUUUGUCGCUAAGCAGCUUUCUAGAGAAAUUUUAAGCUACUUUAAGCUGACAAUAUGUGAAAAUGCCAGCUUCUGUUCUGUCCAGUCUGAUAAAAUUCAAGUGAUACUGAACCACGUGGCAGCCAAAAAGCUCUGUCUCUUUUGGAACAAGAACCCCAGCUGGGCCCCAUCUCAUUCGUUCUGUGACUAACAGCCAGUGGGUCUCUCCAGCAAUGAGUGAAAAGGUAAACAGUGGAAAAAAUGUGAUGAUAAGCAUUAUAGACUGUGGUUCAUACAUCCAGCAAAUUGAUCAGGCUUAGCUAAUGCUAUUGAGAGCAACUGCUGCUGUCAUUUAGAAACAGCUGAAGUAAUAAAAUGUAAAAAGCUGUCAGAGUAAUACUCUUGUAUUUCUAGGUGUGGGGCAGGAAAGUUCCCCAUCUCAGCCCUUGUUGGCCAUCACUCAUUGCUGUUCUAGGACACUUCCCAGACCACGGAGCCACUCACAAUGGAGCCAGCGCGGCCAUGUCCUGUGAAUGCCCGUUCUUUGCAGCUCAAGGAGUUCUCACCUUUUUGUAAGGGAAAUAGGCAGAUUUCACAUCCAGAAGUACCAGCUGUGAUAUCCCUGGUGCGUUGGAAAUGGGCAGCUACAUGUCAAAGCGCAGAUUCACACAGCUCCACUUCUUACAGCUUUCAUUUGCAGUGGAAUAAAUCUAAGCAGGAGAUCCAGAGCACCAUGGAAAGGGAUGUGUAUGCUUUCUAGUUAGAGAAUAUGAAGGGUAUCAGUCAUAAAUUCUGUAUCCAUCCAUCAGAGAAAUGGAUUUUACUCUCUGUUCUUGCAGUUACUUUGGGUUGGCUUAGGCUUUUUUUUUUCCACCAUAUAUUAAUUUCAUGUUUUAAUGCUUUCUUUAACCAGCAGCUUUUAACUUCAUCUGCAAACUCAAUGAUUGAAGUCAGUCAGUUUUACAGCAGUGCCUGUGGAGUGUGCCAGCAGUGUCUGUGUGCUCAGAUUGCCGUGUGUGUAUGAAUUCUGCUUGUGUUCUGUGUCGUUUUAUGGAGAACAAGUCCUGUCCGAGUUGAACCAUUAAGUGUAAAUAAUAAUAAAAUCUUGCAUUAGCGUGGUCAGCCACAGCAUCCAGCUGAGCAUGACAGAGCAAAAGGGUUAAAUUUAGGCUGAUGCUCUUAGAUGUUUCCUUCUCUACAGUCAGCUGGCUCCCAGGAGAGAGAGCUUAUCAUUGCAGGUCAUGGCUGCCAGGAAUCCUACCUGUAAAAAUAGAUUUUCUGUCUCAAGGGCCUUAAUAAGAAUGUUAUUACACAGAACUGUUUUGCAAUGAUAGCUCUAAAUAAUUUAUUUUUUAUUUCGACAAAGUACACCUUAAGAAGUAAUAAACUUGUUUUUUCAAGCCGUAUUUUUAUGCUAGUAGCACUGGACUGUUUGGUCUCUGAGAUCCAUUUCUGCAUUUCAUUGCCUGGGUUUGUUCUAAAGAAGAUUUAUUUUUGUUCUGUGAAUAAUUUUUGAAGGUUCUUGUAAUAUGUACAGAUAUAGAUACAUUUGAGGUCUUUUAUUGAUAUUCCUACAAAGAAUACAAAUAAACUUUAACUUUAAACAGUUUGGACUCAGUAAACACGUGCUGCUUUCAAGUUCUGCUCUUCGUGUGCCACCCACUGCCAGGAAGCAGCUGGUGCUGCAGAGGGAAGAGCGACAGGCUGUGGAGACAGGGAGAAUCGCUCUGCUUCUCUGGGGCACGGGGUUCUUGUGUGUAAUAGGAAGCAAUGAAAAGAGUUACCUGGAAUUAAUUAAUGUGUUUCCGCCUCUCCGGCUGACAACAUAAAUGUGAUCAGCCCUACUUCUUUUUUUGCUCAAUUCCUGUUUUCCAGGCUGUCGUGCACCGGCCCAAAGCUGCGGGCAUGCAGAGGAAUGUUUAGUCACAGGUUCAUGUCAGGUGCUGGAUUUAUCCUUUCAUUUGUAUGUGAAAUUUUGUUAUAGUAAAAGAAAAAAAGACCAUCAUUGAAUGUAAAAUCUGCAAAUCUAUUAUUGCUAGUAAUUUUUAAUUUUUUUUUUUUUAUUCUUAUUUUUUUUAACAUGCUGCUCUGUUUUUCCAUAGCUUUGCAGCCUGCAAAACACGCACAGCCAACUUCCAUCUGCUCCUGUCUACCUCCGCCCUGGCCCUGCACUUUGUUCUGUUUGAGUCCCCUACAUGUUCUGCCUUGUUCUUGCUUAGGCUGUAAGUUUUUCAUGCCAAGGGUUGUCUCCUGCGUGUUGGUACAGAACCCAAGCAUGCUUCUGGGCAUGAGGGCAGCACAAACAACAGCACUGAAGAAGAUGCAUCUGUAAAUUCCCACACCCGUGUCCUGUCCAUGUUGUCAGCAUUCACCCAGGAGUUUCCUGCUUUCCUGUGGCCAUUCCAAGCAGUGCCCACAGGGGAAGGCAGGUCCAGCUGCCAAGAUGUGGACAGACAGAGGCCUGUGAGACAAGGGAUGUUCUGGACAACACGUGUGGGGUUCUGCAGCACUCCUGUAGUUCACCUGCUCCAGUUGGGAGAUUCUUCUGAAGAAGUUCCCCCCUAAGCCUCCUCCUGCCUGAAGGAUGCAAGUGUGAAACCUUUGAUGAUGAUUUCCCAUGUGCAAGAAUGUGUGCUACUGCUUUAAGUAAGCAGCAGCUGCUGCUUAAAUCCAUUAGCAGGUGGAAUACCAAUUUGCUUACGCUGAGAUAAUUAGUCUCAUGAGAAGAGUCCUUGCUCUUACUACAACCCAUCUCGCAUUGCCAUCCUUCACCGUUCUCAUAGUCCCACAGAUUAAAUGUCCUCAUGUCUCCAGAAGGUGUAUUAAAUUCCUGCUUUUUGCUCUUCGAGGUGGAUCAAAUAGCUUGCUUGUAGACAUGAAGCCUGGCUCCCCUCAGUUCUUCUUGCAGGAGAAUGAAUACCUCGUCUGUACUAAGCUCCAUGGGAACAUGUAAUCUGCUGAUGCAACUGGAAAUGUGAGUUCUGUGGACCUGAACCCACUUUCCAGUAUAUUGAGUCAGCCCAGCUCAACAGCAGAGCAGCUUUGGCUGAAGGAAAGAAAUUACUAUCAAUACUGCAGGCUCCAGUGUAGCUGGCAGGAGCAGGGCCCUCAGGAUAGAGGUUCUCCACACCUCUAGGUUCUCCUAGCUUUGUUGUAUGAUCAUAAGGGCAGUCACCUUAAUAAUGAGGAGAAAGGGAUCUUGAGGGACAAAUGGUGUUGGCACUGUCAGUGAAAAACGACAGAUGAUGACAGAAGCUAAUGCAGAAUGAAACACGAGCUGUACAGAGAUGAAUGACACUUACCGUUCCUUCUCUCUGCUCUCCAGGCUUCUGCUUGCAGCAGAAUACAGAUGUUGAGAGCAGUUCUUAUUUGCUUGGCAAGCAGGAAGUCCUGCAUGCAGUGAUGGAGAAAGAACUACAGCUAAGUGGUAGCUGCAUUUAUUCAUCCUGGACCCUACCUGAAAACAGUUUGUGCAUUGUUACUGUAGGAGUGGCUGUUCUGUUGAUGGGAGGGAUGUUUUGCCUCCCUAAGCCCACUACUCUUUUAUAUUCUCCCAAUUUUUAGAAUCACAUGGGAUAAAAUCAAUUUUUGGAAUUUUACAGUGGAACUCACUGUAUUUGCAAACAGAUAACACCAAUGCAUGUAAUCAAAGAAUUGCUGAGAGUCACACAGCUCGUGACAUCUCCUGAUCUGGAACACAGUGCUAGGGGAAGGAGGGAAGAUUCGCUAGCUGCUGUUUUCUCUUUCUUAGAGGGUGAGCUUUCCUGCUGGAGCCCCAGGCACUGCUCCCCUGCUUGGCAGCUGGCUGGGCUGACACCCUGUGCACAUUCAGCAGCUGACUUCUGUGCAUAAAGUCAAUUUGCAGAGCCAGCAAGGAGGAAUUGUCCUUACAGGGACACUAGCCAGGAAUGUCCGGUAAAAAGCUGCUUUGUAAAGGCUUUUUGAAGGUGAUGGGUGGAUUUCAGUUCUCUUUUGUCAGGGAAUUAACUUCUGCUUCCAACUUCACUGGAAUACCUGGGAGCAGCAGCAGCAUCCCCUUUGGCCCCACAGUGCACAUAACCUUGUACCUCCGAACAUGCUGCCUUUUUCCCUUUAUCUCACGUGUGGUUAAACAGUCCGUGUUCACUGUUCAAAGCUUUGCUCUCCAGUAAAAUCUCAGCAUGUGCUGGUUCCUUUAGCACUUUCAAAGGACUCUCUUCAGGACUGCCCUGAAGGGAAAGACAAUGAAGGAGGAGAGCUGAUAUACUUUCUCCUGUUAGCACCAGAAACCACCACAAACUGCUGUUUUAUGUUGCUGGAUGUCUUUUAGGCUCAGGAAUCAUUGAAGAACUCAGACUCGAUCAAAACUCUUAUAACUCGGAUUAAGUGAAGGGCUCUCUUUCAGAUUUUUCUCCAUCACUGGGAAACUGUGAAUGGUAGUUCCCUGCUAUGCCAAGAUCUGUGCUUUACAGGGCUGUGUUUAAAAAGUCAUUGCUACAGCAACCAAUAAAGCUAGAAAAUCUUAUAAAGUAUGCACAUCUCUUUGGGGGUUGAUUGAAGGGCAGAGAAAUUGCUACUCCCUCAAUAACAUGGGUGGCUUUUUGUGGGCUUUUUUCUUUUCUUGAAAGAAAUCCUUUCCCUGUGGGCAGAUUCCAGAUCGUGGCUUUGGCAAAAUAUGGAGCUGAAAAAGGAAAGUCCAUCUGCCCCAACUGCUGACUUGACAACUGUGAUGCUGGAGUAAGCUUCCUUCCUAAAAUGGAGAGAUAGAAGGAGGCAAUGUGCUGGAUCCCUUUUGCUGUUCAAUACUGCGUGCACAGGAAUGCUCUGUUCAAUCACGGCUGACGUGUUUUUAUGAGACUUCUGCCAAUGCGUUGGUGGUCUAACAGCUGCCAGGAAAUUUUCCUGAAGGGCUAGAUUGUGUUUUUUUGCCAUAAUGACUGUCCCCUAGAGAGUUAGCAUAAUAUCACAAACAUUAAUGCUCCCACCUGUAUGCAAAGCAUUUCCUGUUCUGGUUAGUGACAGAAGCUGAGUGUUAGCACAGCUCCUGUGUUUGCUGUUAGCAUGUAUCAGUGUGAGGAGCGAGCAUCAGUUAUCCCAGAGAUGAGAAAUCCUGGGUUAAAAGCCAUUUAAGGUUACAUUGCUGACAUUGGCUUUUCAAGUGCAGUUAGAAACUACUAAAGUUAUCUCAUUAGCCACUAAUUGCUGGGAUCCCGAAAGUAAAUUGCAGUCAUUCCUACAAGGAGCUGGGUGGCAGUCCCAGCUCCAGGCAUGGCUUUGCCUUUGGGUAACAAACAGGAUUUUCAAAGGCAAGAAUAGAAAUGAGACUGCACCCAGAGGAGCCGUUGUGUCACUGUGCUGAUACAGAUUUAUUCUCUCUAACUGGGACAAGCCUGUGGGAUAUAUGUCAUUCUCUCACACAUGCCCUUCUGCUUUGUUUUUUUUCCCCCCUUUUUAGCCUUUUUCUUAUCCUAAACAAUUAAAAUGGCUUUUGCUUCAAUUAUGUGAUUUGCAAUUUGGCAUGAAGGUAGUAGGGCUGGCUGUGGGAUUAUCAGGCUGUCAGCAAAUCAGUGCUUUGGGUUCUGACCCCACCAACGCAAAGCGGGAUGCAAUGAAAUAGUUUGAAAUUUUAUAUUGACAAUGAAGAUUUUAUACCAUCCAGUAGGACAGUUGCAGAUGACUGUGGUCACAUGCAGGAUGGGCUUGGGGUAAGGGCAGCUCUGGUGGACUCGUCCAAAUGGCAGCUUGGAGGUCUCACAUCAGUUGAUUGUGAAUGUGGAGGAGUCCAACAAUGUUACAUCUGCUCUAUUUACAGCUGGCCCAGUGCAGUUCUUGGCAACCUGGCUGCCCUUCUCAAGGGAAAGGUCACCCCAGCAGCUGGAGGGAGGAAAUCUUGGACCUAUGAUUUCAGCCUAGCUGUGGUUCCUCCUUGGGAGAGUUGGCAUCAUCACUAAGACUGCACACAGCUUCCACAGUAUUUCAUUUAGUUUUGGUCUCUAAAUACUUAAAUAAUGACUGACUGUCUGAGUACACACUGUACUGGUACCAGGAUGUGUGGCAAUUCUUCUCUGAUUUUUCCAGGUUCCAACUGCAUUUUUUGGCUUAGAAGAGCCACAUCUAUCCAAAGGGCUCCUCCUAGAAUGAGGAAUUUUGAAUGAAUUUGAUAAAUGAAUCCUACACAUGACAGGAACAUGCUCAUUGCUACAAGUGUUUCUUUAACCACUGCUCCCUUAUCAUCAAGAAAAACAGGUAUGUUGAGUAUCUUGGGUAAAUACACUUGUGCAGAAGCUACAGGAGUACAAGUGUUAUCAGCAAGCUGGUUCAGGGAAAACAUUUGCAGUGCAGUAUGCUAGGAAUUGCUGUCAGUAAUGCUCAUCUUUCCUGAAAGCCUCGGGCCAUUUCUGCUAAUUUACUCCCAUCCUCUCUUUGACAAUAUCGAGAUAUGUCAUUGUGACAAAGUCCACACAGACUUCCCACACAAGUUGUCCACUAAUUUAUGUCUCACUGAAGUGCUGGGAACACAGAAAGCAGACAAAGCAGAUGCUGACUUGCUAAAUAGCAAAUCUCACUCAGCUAGUCUAAAAUGCUUUUAUCUGAUAGAAUUGAUAUUUAUUAGGGAAAAUAGUUAGUGAUUAAUAGCUAUACAGUAGUAUACUGAUGUAGUAAAUAAAUAGCUUAAAAUGAAGAGUGCAUGCACAGCAACAGUAACCAGCUUUCCUCAUUUCAAUGUGGGUGAGUCCUAAACUGGACAAACCAUGCUGGGAUUUUCAGUCCUUGCUCACAUGGAGAGCAAAGUAAGCCCAUAGCAGCAGAAGUUUUUGUUGAAAAGUCCAUUCUAGUAGGAACUGUGGUGAAGGAUAGAUGUUAGGCUGUCAAACAUCUGCCAUAUAGGACAUGUUUUUCAUUCGUUCUGAAUUUGGGCAGGACUCAGAUAGGUUCUCUGGAAAUCAACACAUACCUGAUAUCUAAACUGACCUCCUUUCUUGCAUCCUUUCCUCCACCUUGAAAUCUACUCCCAAGCUCUCUAAUGAUGUUUGAGGAGAUAUCCUCCAAAUAAGGAGAUAUCCUCCAAAUAAGGAAAAUGGAAGAUGGUGAACUGUUAGGGAAAAGAUUGAAAGAAAUGUAGGUCCUAAGUGAUACAUUUCAAAAUGAACAAAUAAAAAGACUUGUCACUGGAUCUUCUCAAAAAGAGGAAGAAAAUGUAAGAAAAAGCCAGAGUAGGUAUCUUAUGAAGAAGAAAAAACUUCUUGCUCUUUGGAGGUGAAGGAAAGUGAUAGCCACAGAAGAUCACAUUCCCAAUCCUGAAGUUCAGACAGAAUUGAGGUGUAAUAAAACACUGCACUGCUACAGGCAGCAAGGAAAGCAUCAGGAAUCUUUAAUCUCUGCUUCAUAUCAGCAAGGAGGGAUUCUGAGCGGAGCUGAAAACUGGGGAAAUGGAUGAAAUAGCUGCUCUCUGGCACAGGCACACUUGCUGGGCUGGAGAGUUGACCAACAAGUGUAACAGCAUUUGUCCCACGAGUGCAACCUACCUCCUUGUACUGGGGCUGUGGAAACUCAGGAAAAAAAUUUUCAAGACUUGAGAGGUAGAAUAGAUGGUAAUACUUGAGUCUGUAGCCUCCAGGCACUGUAUUUCUGAAGGUUUAUUGUGUUCUUUUACACGUAUCCUCAUUUCCUGUGGCACGCUUCCAACCCAACAAGCGAGUUAAGGAUCAAAGAUCGAGACUCUCAGUAAAAACUGUGUUUCUGUGGACGGGGAGUGGCUACAUCUCUUGUUAGGAAGUUGGGGUCUUUCCAUGUAAGGGAGAUGCAGUAGAUCUAUCUAGCAGAGCUUUGGACAAAUACGGAAUAACCUGGAAUACUAUUGCUAAAAACAAAGACCAGAAGAUUCUCCCAGAUUGCAAGGUAAGAGUCUGUCUGAAAAGGGAAGUCAUUGAUUGUGCUGAGACGUGAUCUGCAGCUCUGCAAUUUUGUUUGAUGUUUCUUUUGACCUCAGUACAAACAGCAUACAUGCUAAUUUGGGAGCCAUCUUCAAACACAGGAGGCCCAGAAUAUGUUGCAAAGUUAACUGAGUGACUUUAAAGUCUGGGAUGAAAAGAACAAUGGCUCAAGUGGGGAAAAGGAAGGAAACCAUUAAAAGCAGAUAUGGAAAGAAGAAUCUAAUUGGGCUUGCAUGGUGUAAUUCACUGCAUAGAAAUGCUUGAUGGAAUCUGCCUUGGCCUAUCAGCUAGACAAACAGUGGGCUUAGCAAUCAAUGUCCUUCUGUUUGCAACCAUGCAAACCGUUCUGGAGCCAUGGGAACACUGAACAAUUUGCAUCUCCUUUGCAGGAAUGGAAGUAACUUGUAACCUGUAUCAGGUAUUUUAGCUUAUCCCACAUGAUUAAAAUAAACAGAAAUGCUAAGAAGAAUGGGAGCUGCGUUGUCACGUGGGCUGAGUUAUGCUGGAAACAAGGCUUGAAGAGGGAUUGUUUUUGUGCCACCUUGGGCAGUAUCUUGGAGGGUGCUAAUUGUCCGGGUGCUAAUUGUCUGGGGAAUGAUCAUCAGCUUAUUUCAGUGAGUCACAGUGCACCAUCCUGUGAAAACUGGCUUCUGCAGCUCAAUCCAAAGUGUGUACUGGGCAAACAUCUCAAAAACAAUCCUGAAUUAAGUUUAUCUGCAUCUGAAGAUUUCAAAAGUAUGUUCCCAGCAGAGACUUUGUGGGCUUACCGUUAUGCUGAGCUACAACUUAGGCCUUUCACACAGGACUCUGCUAUAUUCACUGUCUCUCUCCUGAUGUACCUACUUUGCCAGGAUCAGAAAAUCAGCGCAGUUGCAAAACUUGCUCAUGAAUGCAUUCUGCAAACUGCAGAGGUGAGAAAUUAGGUAAGAUGUGCACUUUCCUGAUUCCCAGCCUUUCCUACCGGCCUAUUCCUGUUGCGCACAUCUCUGGAGUCAGAAGAGCCUCCUGCAGAGGUGAAUGCCAAUGACAAUAGUGCUAUCAGAUCCCCGGAGCUGAGCUCUGACUGAAGCAUUAGUGACUUUAAAGCACAAAAUUAUCGUAGUCAUCAGAGCAUGAAGAUUUCUGAGAUGAUGUGGAUAAAUCCAAAGGGUCCUUGCAGUCUGGCACAGAGCUUCAGCCAUGAUGACCUGAAGUCCCAGUUACAUUUAAUUCAAUAGAAAGUUAGAGAAAGCUGUAAUGUUCUCUCUAAAACAAUAAAAGCAUUUCUAUCUGUUUAGUAGUCUUCCCAUUUCCACAGCAAAGUAUUCACUGCUAAGUUAGAAGGAGCUUUAACAAACUUCAUUGCUCUGUUUUACAGUGGGAGAAACUGAGUCAAGGAGGCAACGUGGCCUGCCUGGUGCUGCACAGCAAGUCAGUAUUUCCUGACUCCUUCAUUGGCUCUGUGCUGCAUCUGUGUUCCCAAACAUCCCAGCUACAACUUAACGUCCUUCUGUGAUAGAAGCUGUGGCCUGAUCCAAGCCUUAUUUCCAGAAGUGGUGCUCUGAUUGUGAUGGGAAUCACACUGAGUCAUGCAGUGAUCCAGAAAUGACAGCCAUUGUCCCGUCUUCUUUUCAUGCCAUAUUUUUAGAGUGCACAGUCUCAGCCUCUGUAUUUUAUAGAUAAUUCAGGCAGGAUAUAGAGAGCCUGAAACCAUGGAAGAUUUUGAAUGAUUACCUUUUGUUUGUUCUUAAUUCAUGAAUCCGCAAAACAGGGCAAAAAUCUUGAAAAGUCUGAAACGUUUGUUCCUUUUACUCAAGGCAAAAUGUAAACGUUCAACUUCCCAGUGUAAAUCUAGCUUAAUAACUUUUCCAGAUAAUAAAAUGGUUUCCAAUUUACAAGA